ensembl:processed_transcript 5930403N24Rik RIKEN cDNA 5930403N24 gene
GGGUUUCACAGAUAGUGCGCAAGGAUUUUUUUUUUUGGGGGGGGGUGUUUCUUUUUUUAAAAAAACUGCUGCAAUUGUUAAAUCGUCCCACACUGAAAGGUAUUUAAACCACGAAGAUCGAAUUUCAUCUAGCAAGAUCUCCAGUUGGAAUUAGGUCUGUAGGCCAGAUGUGGGAAACGCAAAAACAGCAAACAGCCUAAGCCAUGCUCGUUCCUUUCUCUCCUAGAGGCGUGAAAUAAAAUAUUUUGAAAUUGGUCCUUGGAGCACCUCAAAUCGCGUCUCUCCAACUAUUCCAAUUACCGAUCACUUUUCCACAAAACAUUGUGAGGACCAUUUUCAGAAGAUCGAAACUUGCUAGCAUGUUAUCACUGUAAGAAACGACAUCAUUAAUUUUCCUCUGUGGUAAAACUAGACCGAGCCUUGAGUGUACGAAUCCAUAUUUACAGUUGGGAGGCAGCUACUCUCGUCGACACGGGUUGUUUUCCUAGCCUGCUGCCAACAUCGGAGGGACUCUCAUUUUGAACUUGUCUGUGCACAGCAUCAAGUGUGCUCCUGGAAGAGAGGCAACAGCGAGGAAAUCCUAAAAGACCGAGUCCUAGUCUCAGAAGAAAUCGCCUGCAAGGUUGAGAGACAGAAAGAAAAUCCCUGGAGACUCCACGUCUAACCCAGGCUAAAGGCAAAGCUCUACAGCGGUGUGUAGGAUAUCUCUCUCGUUCGCUACAGCCCUUGCCACCGAAGUACCAGACGCUUUUAGUGUGUGAAAGACCAGGCGUUGAUUUAAUGUAUCUGGAAGGGAGAGGGGAUAGAGGAUGCAACUUAAUAAAUAUUCCUCUAGUCUCGCUCAUGAAAACAUCCAAAACAUCUUUCGGCGUUUGCAUUUAAUGACUGCAACGUGAACGAUGGAGGCGAGAAGCAGUCGAGGGAAUGGCUCGUUUCUCUUAGUGUUGGCUCGGAAUUGUCAAACAGUUACUUUCUGUUCAUUGUAGGGAAAUAGGUCACACUUUGAGUGAAAAGGACAGUUGGUUCAAGCCAAUAACCCUUUGUUCAAGUGCUGUUUGACAGUCCCUGAGCAGAACAUCGUUGCGUGAAGUUUCAUCUCCUGUCCAGUACCUUUAGAUACAUUAUUAAAUCCCAAAGUCAUAUUCCACGGAGCGCCUGGAAGGAAUAUUUCGUCGAAACGCGUCUUGCCAACCAACGUGUUAGCACCCGUAAGGAAGCCUGCUGGACUGGCCCGAGAACCCGGCCGCCAGGAUGGACACGAAUCCCUCAUUAGCAGUUCCAACUUGAAAAGUCAACUGGGCUGGUCCAACACCACCAUCCAGGAGAUUCCCAAAGGCUCAAAAGGCAAUCUGUGCACCCACCCCACGGGAACCUUGCCCCUUCCUCUGCGUCUCCCUCCGGUUUUAAAUUGGGAUGAUUGCUAGUUCGCUUUCGGAUUUUUUCUCCCAGACAUUCGGGGGCUGCUUUUGUGGCUCCUUUGUUAACAGGCUGUCGUGCAGCUUUCCCCCCUUUUCUUUCUCCAAUGCCUAUUUGCCUGGUAUCGGCUCGUCUCCGGGGCAACCGCGGGGAAGAUUCGGAGCCCCAGGCGCCGGGAGGGGGAAGGGGCGGAGCCCGGCGGAGUGGGGGCGGGGAGGGGCGCGAGAGGAGGGGCGGAGGGAGUGGGUCAGGAGGAGACCCCAGGACCCACGAGGAGCAGAUGGCCGCUCCGGGGCGGAGCCCGUGAGCGUCAGGGGAGCGGGAGAGCCAAUCCGUCCCUGCAGCAGCGCGGGAGAGAGCCAACGAGAGUAAACACGCGGGCUGUCCNNNNNNNNNNNNNNNNNNNNNNNNNNNNNNNNNNNNNNNNNNNNNCCUACUUUGCAGCUGAAGACGUGAUUUCCUUUGGAUAAGAAAGCUCAUUGCCAGUGUGGUUGGAAAGCUGGCGGUCCCCGGGAGAAUGGGUUGGGAGGCGGGUUUGGGCGGAGCUCUGAAAUCUCCCUCUCCCUUUCCUCCCCUCCCACCCCGACUCAGGCACCCACUAAGCCUGGCGAGAAUGGAAGAGGCGGGUGGAUGGGAGAGCGGGGCGGGGCUGGGAAAAGGGAAGAGAUUGACUCUUGCUAUGAACCUUAAGGAAUGCCAGCAAGCUAUUGGAGCUGCUGGUCUUUACCUGCUGCAGUUCCCCUACAGUUUGGUGGUCUCCCCGUAGAGUUAAGGGUUUGGGGGGGGGGGGAGGCGGGGAAACACCCGCCAAAUGCAUUUAUAUAAGUGAGAUUAAAGAACCCAUAAGGACAUUAAAAAUUGGAAGCAGGCGCCUAUAGCCAACUCAAAAGGGAACACAGACUUUUAUUCUCCAUUUGCACUGUUUAUGGAGGGAUGUGGUGUGUAUGAGUGUACAGAGUCUUACUGUGCAAUACAGGCUGACCUCCAACCCUUUGGAGCCCAGACUAGUCUAAAACUCAUGAUUCACAGGGUCUAUUUCUCAACUGCUAGCGACUAACAGGGGUGUGCUAUUACUGCCAGCUCUGUGCUCCCAUUUAUUCUGACCUGGUGGCACCAUAGCUAAAGGUGCUUGCAUUCAAGUCUGAAAACCUAAAUCCAUCAUCCCAAGACCCAGAUGGUGUGUAGAUAGAACCAACUCUUGAAAAGGUUCCCCGACCGACCCUCACCCCUGGCAUACACUACACAAAAAUUUAAUGUAAUAUGAUGUAGUAAUCUGUAUACGGUCUUCCUAUACAGAUUACCACCAAUGCAUCUAAGAUGCACCACAGAAGAAAUCAGAGGUCAGGAUGGUUUAAAAUGUCAGUUUAGGGCAGAAGAGCACUUGCCAUGCAAGCAUGAGGACCUGAGUUCAAAUCCACAGCACCUGUGUAAAAAGCCAGCCCAGGUGUGUGAGCAAGCCCAGUGCUGGGGGAAGAUCUUUGAGCCUUAUUGGCCGACAGUCUAGCUCUAGGUUUAGUGAGAGAGUAAUAGGCACCUGAUUGCAGAGAGAAUAUCUUGUGUAUUGUAUGGAUACACCACCUGUCAAUUAAAAAGCCAAUGGCCAAUGGCUUAGGCAGGAAAUAGGUGGUGGGACAUCUGGGAAGCAGAAAGAAUUCUGGGAUAGAGCCAGGUGUGGGAGAUUUGCCUGGGAAAUUUUGAAGAGACGGACACAUGGUACUUGAGCACAGGUAACCAGCCAUGUGACAGAAUGUAGAUUAGAAUAAAUGAGUUAUGUUUAGUUAUGAUCUAAUCAGAAAAGAACAUAGCAUUAUGGCCAAGGUAUUUGUAAAUAUGUUUUGAGUCUGAGUCUUAUUUCUGGGAUCAUGGGGCUGGGAGGAAGAACCAGGCCCAACAUCUAUAUCCGAUACCUCCUCUGACCUUCACAUUUAUGCACAUGGGCAUGGGCCCUCCACACACCAGUGCAUACACCACUACAUACGCACUUGUUUAUAAAAGUAUGGAAUAGUAAGAAUUCUAAGUGCAAAUGUUUUUAAAAUCCAGGUCAUAAGAAUAUGCAACAGAUGGCAGGUAGGGUCCAAAAAAUCACUCUGUGUAACUUGUGCUAUAAAAGGAUGAGCAGAAGAAGAGAGACUGAAGAAGGCUGAAAAGAAACUCUAAAGUAGUAGGGUAAAAAGUAAAAUCAGGAGUAUAGUCGGGGAAAUCAUGGUAGAUGUGGUACUGAGGAGGAACGGCUCAUUUUGCCAAAUGCUAGAGGCUAAUCAAGUAAAAUAAAGACUGAAGACAUUAUAGACAUUAUUGCUUUUAUUUUUCUUUUUCCAAAUGAAGCCUGACUCUAAUCCAGGCUGUCCUCGAACCCACUAUGUAGUCCAAACUGUCCUUGUGUUCUCAACAAUUUUCUUACCUCUGUGCUCCAAGUGCUGGAUUCACAGGCAGAAACUGCCAUAUCCAAACUUCUAGAGCAGUUUUUGUAGCAUGCUGAGAAAGGACACAUGUUUAGGGCUUGAAGUGUUGAGCGUAAAUGGGAACACACUUUUAAUAAAUAAAUAAAUAAAUAAAUAAAUAAAUAAAUAAA